rnacentral:lncRNA from 1 species
CAACUCCUAUGAACUUUCUAAUUUUGAGACCUACAUAGAAAAUGUAUCUAUUUUUACCCUCAUCUCAUAUUGUAUUAUUAGGAAAGACUUUUCAGUAUGAAUUUCAUGAGAUCAAGCAGAUGACUAAUUCCUGUCACAUAGUUGCAGGCAAGUUUCUUAACUCGUCCUCUCCUGCUUUCUAAAGAUAUCCCCCACUCUGUGGCCCACUGCUGUAUAUCCAUAUCAUUUGCUAUGCUGAAAAGGUUUAACAUAAACGCAGAGUUAAAUUUAAAAUAAUUACUUUAGGGAGUGGAUGCUUCUUGAGUACAGGUAAUGUUCUAUUUCUUAAUCUAGGUUCCAGUUACUUGAGUGUGUUUUGUAGACUUUGUAAAAAUUCAUCCAGCUGUAUGCUUAUGAUUUAUCUACUUUUCUUGGAUACAAGAUUUACUUAAAAAAUAAUGAUUUAAAAAAAGUCACUUUUUAUAUUCAAUGACAUCAUGACCCAUUUUUCCAUUGAGGUGUUCAUCAUUUUCAAACUGAUCUACAAGAGCUCUUCAGUAACUCAGGCCAAAAUCCUCAGCUGCUCUUUUUCUCAUACCUAUGUCCAAUCUGUAAGAAAAUACUACAAGCUGAACUUUCAAAAUAGAUCCUUAGUCCUGCCACUUCUCCCCACUCCACCGCUAAAACCAUCUUUCAUGUAGAUUAUUACAAUGGUCAUUGUAAAUGGUCUUCCUGGUCCCACACUAUCCCCCACCACAUUCCGUCUAUAUAACACACAGCAGCUAGACAAAUCCCGCCAAACCAAAGAUGAAUUUUAUCACACUCCUGCUCCCAACCCUCCAGUAGCUUCACAUUUUACUCCAAGUAAAGGCCAAAAUUAUGACUGUAGCUCAAAGUUUUCCUGUACAAUUGUCUUGGACAAUUGCAAUAAAUCGUCUACUCACAUCUCCACUCCCUUUGCCUUCCCACAUGGCCUCCUAGCUGCAUCUCCAACACUCUAGACGAGCUCCAACCAAAAAGUAUAUUAUUUCCAGAAGGGAAGUUUUCAGUGGAAUGAUUAAAAUAAAGAGUUUGGCCAGCACCACUGAAGAGCUCAUUGGCCAGAACUGCUGUCACUGACUCAGUGCUACUUCUUUUCCUUGGAUUGCAUCUCCUGUUAUGAAGAGGGCUAAAUGAUAUCACUGAAAAUUGCAAGUACAAAAUGAAAUAUUGUGCAUCUGUUUGCUUUAAUUUUCAGAGAGGACUGCAUACAUAGCUCUGUAGUAUUCCGUAUUUGUUUUAAAGCUCUAAUCCAAAAUCAUACUCUCUUUCUUGCAGACCACCAUUAAUAAGAAUGGUUCAAAAAUAAGCUAUGUCUGAUUACGUUUACUAAUCCACCCACAAAUGCUUCGCAUGUCUCUAACAUAUCAUAGUAACCCCCCUCUCAUUGGGUCCACCCCUUUUCAGCAAUAUAGAAACACUCCAAGGUUGUUUCAUUGAAGGGACCUGUUUUCUUUGCCUUAUUUUCACCCUUAUCAAAGUAUAUAUAACACACAAAUUAACACUGACCUAGAUUUAUUUAGGAUAAGCCUAGUAAGACAGCCAUUAUUUGAUCAUUCCACAAAAUAACAAUUUUAUGGGAUUCAACAAAAUAAUGUGAGUAUAUUCAGUUAUGGUGGAAAUCAUUGAAAAAUUGUGUUCAGAGAUUUGGAUGUUUAAGUGGGGAAGUUCAAAGGAUCUACUAAGAAGAUAACUCCAUGGAGAUGUUCUAUGAUCUCUAUUAAAUUAGAACUUAAUAAUUUUUACUGUUCAUCUUUCAACCAAAUCCCAACUGAACACCCAUGAUGUACUCAGACCCUUUCUUCAAGGUUGAGGAGAGAAAGUUGAGUAAGACAUAACUCCUGACCUAAAGGCACCUGUAGUCUAUUAGCCUGCAUUCUACCCGAAUUUGAAAGAAGAAUUAGCUUUAAAGUCUGUGAUGCCAACUAAUUAUUAUAUUUUUAUUUUCUUCUAUUUUUAUAAUUAAGUGUAAUUUUUGUUUAAAAAGAAAUACCUGCUCAUUACUAAGGAAAUGUUACAUAAUGUUCAAAUUAGAAAGUAAACCUCUUAUAUUGGCAUUAUCUAUUUGGAAUUUUAAGAUAUUUCAGUGUGACAAUAAUGUGGACAGUACUAAGGAAACAUUAAGCGAUUAUUUUAUAAUAAGACCUUGGAAUGUCUUGUCCUGAGAAAAUGCAAGUAAGAAGAGGGGCAAAGACAACCCAGUGGCCCUGUGCUGUCAAAAGACAGGCAUGGUCAAGGACUUCUAUGAUAUAUAUGUAUCACACAUUUAUAUAUAAAUAUACAUAUAAUAAAUAUAUAUAGCAAGGAAAACCCAAAGAUUCCUGCUGGACAAACUUGAAAGGAAGGAAGAUUUAUUGAAGAAAUAUGAAGAAGAACAAAGAAUUCCCAGAGGAAAAAACAAAACCAUUCAGGGGAUUUCUAAUAGAAGAGAACUAAAGAAUGAAAUAAUGACAUACAGCAGAGACAGCCAAGGUUCAGAACUGACUGUUUCCUUCCUGACAGCAAAUAGAGGAGAAUAAAAAACCAAAGCCUCUCUGCAGAGUUUAGCCAGCAGGGCCUCAGGUAGAAUGUCUCAACUCUCCCAGAGCCAUCUGGGUCAGAAGCCACCCAGCUCUUCCAGCCUUCUCUGGGACAAAGAACACAAUGAAGACCAGCAGUGGGGAGGUAUCAAGGGAACUCUGAAAAGAGCUCAUGCCAGAGCACAUGCUGCAUAAAUCCUUCGGCAUUCCUUGGCAGCAAUAAAUUAUCUCUAGGACCAAGGUGAAGGAAAGAAAUAAAGAGGGCUAUAUGGUGAGAAGUGAAACUACUGACAGCAGUAGUUUGCAAACUUUUUAGUCUCAGAACAUCACAUUCUUAAAACAAAUUAUUGAGGACCCCAAAUGGUGUGUUUAAAGGGUUAUAAUUGGCUUUAAAUUAAAACUCUGGGAAAUGGUUUAAAUAUCACUUAAUUUAUUUAAAGGAGUAAUAAGUUCAUGAGUUUGUUUCUGUUCUGUAGAUAGGUUCGUUUGUCCCAUAUUUUAGAUUCUACAUAUAAGUGAUAUUAUACGGUAUUUUUCUUUCUCUUUCCGACUUACUUCACUCAGUAUGAGGAUUCCUAGUUCCAUUCAUGUUGCUGCAAAUGGAAUUAUUUUGUCUUUUUUAUGGCUGAGUAGUGAUGGAACAUGAUGGAAGAUAUGAGAAAAAGAAUGUGUAUAUAUGUUUAACUGGGCCACAUUGCUAUAUAGCAGAAAUUGACAGAACAUUGUAAAUCAAGUAUAAUAAAAAAAUUAAAACAUCUAUUUAUUACUUAAUGCUUCAACAAUAUUCAAUACUUACUAUGUGCCCCCCAAAAAAUAAAGGAGCAAUAACACAUCCGGUGUAUAUUGACAUAAAUUUUUUUUUCAUGAAAAAUGACUUUUCAGUAACAUGUUUCUAUCAGUGUCUCAUGCUCUGAGAUGUGUUGCUGUAGAUGCCAAAAACCAAAACUCUGACAGCUUUUUACCCAGGUUUCCUCAUGGUUGUGUUGGCAAUGAGCAGCCUGGAGGGAUUAGGCAAUGCCUUCCCCCAGCACAAAGAGCAGGCUUGCUUGCUGCUGGCUCUAAAAGGCAGAUUCCCCAAGCUCAGUCUUUCUCUUCCAUCAUGCAUCCCACUGUGUAUGCAUGCAUCUCUCUAGACCCAUCCAUAUCACCCUUGGGAAACUGGUGCUUACCGGGGGAAACUGAUGUAAAUAUACUGAAACGCUGGCUAUUGCUUCAUCUGGGAGUGUCAAGUCUUUUAACUCUGACCCAACAAUGUCAUAUGAACAAAGUCUGGCCUUACACAGACGUCUAACUGGAAAAGGGACAACCUUGUUGAUCCCCUAAAAAGAUCUCAGCAUCCCUAUGGUUCUUAGACCCCACUGAUCAACAGCUAUGAAGCUUAUCGCCUACAUUGAAAUGAUUUUAAUAUUGGGCAUUUUGUGUUUGCAUGACUUACAUAUUCCACAAAAUUAUUGCUCUGGAAGAUGAAGUCGCAAUAGCUUAAAAUCAGUUAUGUUUUUUGUUACUGUUAUUGUUGUUUGCUAUCUGUUUAUAUUUUUUGUUACAGGAAUGCUCUGAAAACCCACUUAUCCAAAUAAUCAACUACUAUACUUGCCCUCAUCAGAGUAAUAGAUCACUCACAGGGCUCAUCAAAGGCUGUUUAUUCUUCAAGACUAACUUCAAAACGCUUGCUCUGCAGGGUCCACCAAUCCUAAAUAAUUGUUUCAUAAAUUUUGCCCAAUCCCUUUCAGCCUUCCUACCACAUUGAAAGAUCCACCUUAAACUAGACUUCUCAACACUUAAAAUACCUGGUUUUGACCUCCACUUCCUGAAACACUACUAAAGCAGAAUAAGCAAUAAACUCAGUCUUUCUUUAUAAGUAGGUUUAGUAGUUUUUACAAGAUGUCAAUUAACAAUCUAUUUCCUACUUGAAUUACUACCUCUCCAAUAAAUGGGUCUCUGCUUUGAGAAACUAAGCAUCAAAUACACUUAAUAUAAUCAUUUCAGCAUAUAUUAGAAAUAGAAAAUUACACGGUCUUUCAUUCAAUGGAAAAAUCUUGAUAUUCAAUCUACCAUUAAAUUCCAUAAAACUAGGGUUUGCCAGAUUUAGCAAAUGAAAAUACAGAACGGCAGCCAAACUCAAGUUUCAGAAAACAAUGAAGAAUUUUUUAGUCUAAGUCUCUCCCAGACACUGUAUUGAGUGUCCUGUUUUAUCUGUCAGCUCUAUAUAAAACCUGUGCUGUAUGAAUUGGUUCUACUUUAACAACAAAUAUUUUCCAUUUCCUUAUUAUUCUUGAUCAUCAAAGAUCCU